AUUGAACGCUGGCGGAAUGCUUUACACAUGCAAGUCGAACGGCAGCACGGACUUCGGUCUGGUGGCGAGUGGCGAACGGGUGAGUAACAUAUCGGAACGUAUCCAAUAAUGGGGGAUAACUAAUCGAAAGGUUGGCUAAUACCGCAUACGCCCUACGGGGGAAAGCAGGGGAUCUUCGGACCUUGCGUUAAUGGAGCGGCUGAUAUCUGAUUAGCUAGUUGGUGAGGUAAAGGCUCACCAAGGCGACGAUCAGUAGCUGGUCUGAGAGGACGACCAGCCACACGGGAACUGAGACCCGGUCCAGACUCCUCGCGGAGGCAGCAGUGGGGAAUUUUGGACAAUGGGCGCAAGCCUGAUCCAGCCAUUCCGCGUGAGUGAAGAAGGCCUUCGGGUUGUAAAGCUCUUUCGCAGGGGAAGAAAACUUACUUUCUAAUAAAGAGUGAGGUUGACGGUACCUUGAUAAGAAGCACCGGCUAACUACGUGCCAGCCGCCGCGGUAA
rnacentral:rRNA from 1 species